GCUGUGGAGCAGAGCAGCGGACUCAUAAUCCGUCGGCCGUGGGUUCGAGUCCCAC
rnacentral:tRNA from 1 species